UACGUAGGGGGCAAGCGUUGUCCGGAAUCAUUGGGCGUAAAGAGCGUGUAGGCGGCCCGGUAAGUCCGCUGCGAAAGUCGAGGGCUCAACCCUCGAAUGCCGGCGGAUACUGUCGGGCUAGAGUCCGGAAGAGGCGAGUGGAAUUCCUGGUGUAGCGGUGAAAUGCGCAGAUAUCAGGAGGAACACCUACGGCGAAGGCAGCUCGCUGGGACGGUACUGACGCUGAGACGCGAAAGCGUGGGGAGCAAACAGG
rnacentral:rRNA from 1 species